rnacentral:lncRNA from 10 species
GAACCAGACUUCCUGUUUUCUCUUCACUAUGGAACUCACCUAUUUUAAGAUAGUCUCCCUUCAUCCAUUCUUGAUUCCUAAGCUUCUACUUUUUCAGUAAAAGUUCCUGCUUUUCAAGAAGUUCUUUUGAAGUCCUACCCUGGUUUGAACAACUUGUUGAGAAUUCAGCAACUUGAGGCAUGCCUGUUAGAGGAGACCACACCACCAGAUCUCACCGGCUGUGGGACCAGCAGAAGGAACACAAACCUUCAGGUACUCCCCAAGGUUCAAAUUCUCAAGCUAGCAGCGACAGCACUCAGAGGCCAGGGACCAUGAUCUGUUCAUCUUAUGCCCCAGCACCUGUCUUAGGACUCGGCAUAUAGGAGUCACUCAACAGUUUGCUGAAUUAAAUGAAAUUGAACUUGGCUUUGCUGCAUUUAACAAAAAUGUAAUCAUCAAUUAUAAUGUAUACCUUUGUUUUUUAUUCCUAAGAAGAAAGCACUACUGAUUAUAACUGUAAGAUAUAUACCAAUCAAUGAUGUACAUCAUCAGUUUUAAGAGAUGUUAAAUCUGAUUUCAAU